rnacentral:rRNA from 1 species
GCGGAACACGUACAGAACCUUCCUUUAAGCGGGGGAUAGCCUUCGGAAACGGAGAUUAAUACCCUAUAGUAUUGUUUGAUGGCAUCAUUAGACAAUUAAAGAUUUAUCACUUAAAGAUGGCUGUGCGGCUGAUUAGGUAGUUGGUGUAGGUAACGGCUCACCAAGCCUUCGAUCAGUAACUGGUGUGAGAGCACGACCAGUCACACGGGCACUGAGACACGGGCCCGACUCCUACGGGAGGCAGCAGUAAGGAAUAUUGGUCAAUGGACGCAAGUCUGAACCAGCCAUGCCGCGUGAAGGAUUAAGGCCCUCUGGGUUGUAAACUUCUUUUAUCUGGGAARAAAUGCAUCUUUUCUAAGGUGUUUGACGGUACCAGA